rnacentral:rRNA from 1 species
CCUACGGGAGGCAGCAGUGAGGAAUAUUGGUCAAUGGGCGGAAGCCUGAACCAGCCAAGUAGCGUGCGGGAUGAAGGCCCUACGGGUCGUAAACCGCUUUUGCACGGGGAUAACACCCUCCACUUGUGGAGGUCUGCAGGUACCGUGCGAAUACGGGCCGGCUAAUUCCGUUCCAGCACCCGCGGUAAUACGGAAGGCCCGGGCGUUAUCCGGAUUCAUUGGGCUUAAAGGGAGCGUAGGCGGGCGUUCAAGUCAGCUGUAAAAUCGCGCGGCGCAAGCGCGCACCGCAGUUGACACUGGAAGCCUUGAGUUCACAACAGGCAGGCGGAAUUCGUGGUGUAGCGGGGAAAUGCAUAGAUAUCACGAGGAACCCCGAUGGCGAAGGCAGCCUGCCGGGGUGCGACUGACGCUGAGGCUCGAAGGUGCGGGUAUCAAACAGGAUUAGAUACCCGUGUAGUC